rnacentral:rRNA from 1 species
CCUGCGGAAGGAUCAUUAAAAAUAUAAUUAUAUAAAAUAUUAUAUAAAUAUUUUUAUUUAUAAUAAUAGAAAAAUAUAAAAAAUUUAUAUAAAUUUAAUUUAUAUAAGAUUUUUAUAUUUUUCGGUGAGAAUGAUAACUCUCACCAUUAAAAAAUUAAUAGUGUCAUAAAAAAUUAUAAUAUAAAAUUUUUAAAAUUAAUAUUGUCUAUGAAUUAUUUUUAUUUAAUAAAUAAAAUAUAACUUUUAACAAUGGAUCUCUUGGCUCUUACAUCGAUGAAGAACGCAGCGAAAUGCGAAACUAAAUGUGAAUUGCAUCUCUAGCGAGUCAUCAUGUCUUUGAACGCACUUUGCACUAUAAGUUUACUUAUAGUAUAUUUGUUUGAGUUCUUUAUAAGAAUAAUCUAUUAAAAAUUUAUUUUUAAUAGGAAUUGAAAGUGUCAAUAUUAGUAAAUAAAAUUGAACUUUUGAAAUUUUAAAUUUUUAUUUAAUAAAAUUUUAAACUAGAAAAAUAUUUAAAUUAUUAAAUAUUUCACUGGGGAAAAAUAAUAUAAAUUUAUAUUUAUAUUAUUUUUAAAUAAAACUUUGGUGAUAUAUUUCGUUUUUUAUAUAAAUAUUUUCUUAAUAAAUUUAAAAUUUU